AGUGGCGGACGGGUGAGUAACGCGUGAGAAUCUGCCUUGGGGUCGGGGACAACCACUGGAAACGGUGGCUAAUACCGGAUAAGCCGAUUGGUGAAAGAUUUAUUGCCCGAAGAGGAGCUCGCGUCUGAUUAGCUAGUUGGUGAGGUAAGAGCUCACCAAGGCAGCGAUCAGUAGCUGGUCUGAGAGGACGAUCAGCCACACUGGACUGAGACACGGCCCAGACUCCUACGGGAGGCAGCAGUGGGGAAUUUUCCGCAAUGGGCGAAAGCCUGACGGAGCAAGACCGCGUGAGGGAGGAAGGCUCUUGGGUUGUAAACCUCUUUUCUCAGGGAAGAAGCUCUGACGGUACCUGAGGAAUCAGCCUCGGCUAACUCCGUGCCAGCAGCCGCGGUAAUACGGAGGAGGCAAGCGUUAUCCGGAAUUAUUGGGCGUAAAGCGUCCGCAGGUGGCGAUUCAAGUCUGCUGUCAAAGCACGGGGCUUAACUCCGUAAAGGCAGUGGAAACUGAAUAGCUAGAGUGCCGUAGGGGUAGAGGGAAUUCCCGGUGUAGCGGUGAAAUGCGUAGAGAUCGGGAAGAACAUCGGUGGCGAAAGCGCUCUACUGGACGGCAACUGACACUCAGGGACGAAAGCUAGGGGAGCGAAUGGGAUUAGAUACCCC
rnacentral:rRNA from 1 species